ACAGAGCAAUGAUUGUCCAAACGCAAUUCUUGCACAAAUCAUCGACGCAAAAUCGACAAGAACUGUGUUCGGACAUCAGUGCCUGG
rfam:Macrostomum lignano uti_cns_0011923, whole genome shotgun sequence.